AUUAUCACAAGCAUUUUGUGAAGAAGGUGGGGGCCUCUAAAGACUCUCAUCCCAUCUGAGUCCUCCAAUGUCUUGCUGUUGUCAUUGUCAACUUGAAUCAGGGCUCUGCUGUCAAACACCAUAAAUUUUCAUCCAUUGCAACAAACCUUGCUUCUUGGUGUGGAAUGCUAUCGUUGGUAAUAAGCUGUACACUUUUGAAGGGCAUAAAGCACCAGCUUACCCCAUGUGCCCUCAUAAUAAGGAAAACCUUCAUGCUAUUCAUAUGUGAGACUAGUAAAGGACAACCAUACCUUGUGGAAUUGGAUGAACGUUAGACAGCCAUCAAGCUUAUAUAUCAAGGUUUUUGGAAGCGGUCUGUGGUGGUUGUGCCACUGCCAUUUGAUACAAUGAAGAACCGGUUCCUGGCUACUGGAUAUGCGUUCAAAUUAAAAUUUUGGGACAUGGACAAUGGUUACCUCUUGACAAUUACUACCGCAAAGGGUAGAUAACCGGCUGCUCCUUGCAUUCUAUUUUACAAGGAAGGGAUACUGCUUGCUGUAUCAACAAGUGAAAAUGGAAUCAAAAUACUUGCAAAUGCUGAAGGUGUAUGGCUUCUGCGUUCUAUUGAAAAUCAAGUUGUUUCAUACCUCUAGAGUGGAUCCUACAACUAUUGCAAAGGGACUGGUAAUUAGCUCCUUUGGUGCUUCCCAUUCAACUGCUGGAACAAGCACUUGAUAUUAGGCAGAGUCCACAGAAACACUGAAGCUUUUGAUUUUCCAAAUAAUUUUCUUAUCAAAAUAUACAGAUGAAUAUUUCAAGAGCUAAAAUUUUUAUUGGCGUCUAUGCCUAUGUUCAGUUGACAUGUCUGAAUCUGGAGGAAAAGAUGCUUUCUGUGGAAGAUCUUGCUUAGGCCUAAAGCAUGUCUGUUAUGUGUCUUUUCGUGUGCUUUCUAUCAUACGUUUUUUUUUUUUGGGUAUUCUGAGAUAUUGUUAGCAAUGGCAUCUAUAUUACAGAUUUCUCAAUCAGUUUCGAGUCUCUCUUAUGUAUCAUUGCAACGGCAUUCUGUGCUUUAAACAAAAAGGGCAAAGUGCUAAAAGUAGCAAUUUGUUGGACUUUUACUUCCCACCAAAAGAAGGGAACGCCCAUUUUACCAAAGAGUUGUAUGACUAUUUUUUCCUAAACACUAAUGCCAAA